CGGCGUGCGCAGGCUACACAUGCAAGUCGAGCGGUAGAGAGAAGCUUGCUUCUCUUGAGAGCGGCGGACGGGUGAGUAAUGCCUAGGAAUCUGCCUGGUAGUGGGGGAUAACGUUCGGAAACGGACGCUAAUACCGCAUACGUCCUACGGGAGAAAGCAGGGGACCUUCGGGCCUUGCGCUAUCAGAUGAGCCUAGGUCGGAUUAGCUAGUUGGUGAGGUAAUGGCUCACCAAGGCGACGAUCCGUAACUGGUCUGAGAGGAUGAUCAGUCACACUGGAACUGAGACACGGUCCAGACUCCUACGGGAGGCAGCAGUGGGGAAUAUUGGACAAUGGGCGAAAGCCUGAUCCAGCCAUGCCGCGUGUGUGAAGAAGGUCUUCGGAUUGUAAAGCACUUUAAGUUGGGAGGAAGGGUUGUAGAUUAAUACUCUGCAAUUUUGACGUUACCGACAGAAUAAGCACCGGCUAACUCUGUGCCAGCAGCCGCGGUAAUACAGAGGGUGCAAGCGUUAAUCGGAAUUACUGGGCGUAAAGCGCGCGUAGGUGGUUUGUUAAGUUGGAUGUGAAAUCCCCGGGCUCAACCUGGGAACUGCAUUCAAAACUGACUGACUAGAGUAUGGUAGAGGGUGGUGGAAUUUCCUGUGUAGCGGUGAAAUGCGUAGAUAUAGGAAGGAACACCAGUGGCGAAGGCGACCACCUGGACUGAUACUGACACUGAGGUGCGAAAGCGUGGGGAGCAAACAGGAUUAGAUACCCUGGUAGUCCACGCCGUAAACGAUGUCAACUAGCCGUGGAAGCCUUGAGCUUUUAGUGGCGCAGCUAACGCAUUAAGUUGACCGCCUGGGGAGUACGGCGCAAGGUUAAAACUCAAAUGAAUUGACGGGGGCCGCACAAGCGGUGGAGCAUGUGGGUUUAAUUCGAAGCAACGCGAAGAACCUUACCAGGGCUUGACAUCCAAUGAACUUUCAGAGAUGGAUUGGUGCUUCGGGGAGCAUUGAGAACAGGUGCUGCAUGGCUGUCGUCAGCUCGUGUCGUGGAGGAAUGUUG
rnacentral:rRNA from 1 species